UGCAGUCGAACGAUGAAGCCUUUCGGGGUGGAUUAGUGGCGAACGGGUGAGUAACACGUGGGCAAUCUGCCCUUCACUCUGGGACAAGCCCUGGAAACGGGGUCUAAUACCGGAUAACACUCUGUCCCGCAUGGGACGGGGUUAAAAGCUCCGGCGGUGAAGGAUGAGCCCGCGGCCUAUCAGCUUGUUGGUGGGGUGAUGGCCUACCAAGGCGACGACGGGUAGCCGGCCUGAGAGGGCGACCGGCCACACUGGGACUGAGACACGGCCCAGACUCCUACGGGAGGCAGCAGUGGGGAAUAUUGCACAAUGGGCGAAAGCCUGAUGCAGCGACGCCGCGUGAGGGAUGACGGCCUUCGGGUUGUAAACCUCUUUCAGCAGGGAAGAAGCGAGAGUGACGGUACCUGCAGAAGAAGCGCCGGCUAACUACGUGCCAGCAGCCGCGGUAAUACGUAGGGCGCAAGCGUUGUCCGGAAUUAUUGGGCGUAAAGAGCUCGUAGGCGGCUUGUUGCGUCGGUUGUGAAAGCCCGGGGCUUAACCCCGGGUCUGCAGUCGAUACGGGCAGGCUAGAGUGUGGUAGGGGAGAUCGGAAUUCCUGGUGUAGCGGUGAAAUGCGCAGAUAUCAGGAGGAACACCGGUGGCGAAGGCGGAUCUCUGGGCCAUUACUGACGCUGAGGAGCGAAAGCGUGGGGAGCGAACAGGAUUAGAUACCCU
rnacentral:rRNA from 1 species